UGCAUGCGAUACACAGCGGAUAAGAGGAAAGUGGCACUCAAUUCUGUCUUCUAAAGAGUAUCCCAAUUAAAUUUAGUAACUGCAACUCCAACUGCAGCUGGAGAGCAAGAGGAAAUGAAACAUUUCUCAGAAAAUGCAAAGGGGUGGAACCCACUCAGCAACUUUCAGA